CUGCUGCAGUGUGCACAGUUCAUCUUCCAUCUGUGUCUGGUAGCAGUGUGUCUGUGUUUCACAUUCAGACCUUGCUAUUCACACAAACUUGUGUGUGAAGCCGAAGAGUAACUUGAUAACAUACUACUGCACUGGCCAGCCUCCUAAUUCCCACACGUAC
rfam:Tupaia chinensis contig19584, whole genome shotgun sequence.